GUUGUAGUCUGGAGAAGUGCUUUCCGCGCUGGACCGUGUAUAAGUCUCUUGGAACAGAGCGUCAUAGAGGGUGAGAAUCCCGUCUUUGACACGGACUACCAGUGCUUUGUGAUGCGCUCUCAAAGAGUCGAGUUGUUUGGGAAUGCAGCUCAAAAUGGGUGGUGAAUUCCAUCUAAAGCUAAAUAUUGGCGAGAGACCGAUAGCGAACAAGUACCGUGAGGGAAAGAUGAAAAGCACUUUGGAAAGAGAGUUAAACAGUACGUGAAAUUGCUGAAAGGGAAACGCUUGAAGUCAGUCGCGUCGUCCGGAACUCAGCCUUGCUUUCGCUUGGUGCACUUUCCGGUUGACGGGCCAGCAUCGAUUUUGACCGUCGGAAAAGGGCUAGGGUAAUGUGGCACCUCCGGGUGUGUUAUAGACUCUAGUCGCAUACGGCGGUCGGGAUCGAGGAACGCAGCGCGCCGUAAGGCAGGGGUUCGCCCACUUUCGCGCUUAGGAUGCUGGCAUAAUGGCUUUAAACGACCCGUCUUGAAACACGGACCAAGGAGUCUAACAUACCUGCGAGUGUUUGGGUGGUAAACCCGAGCGCGUAAUGAAAGUGAAAGUUGAGACCUCUGUCGUGGAGGGCAUCGACGCCCGGACCUGACGUUCUCUGACGGAUCCGCGGUAGAGCAUGUAUGUUGGGACCCGAAAGAUGGUGAACUAUGCCUGAAUAGGGUGAAGCCAGAGGAAACUCUGGUG
rnacentral:rRNA from 1 species